rnacentral:rRNA from 1 species
UACGUAGGGUGCAAGCGUUGUCCGGAAUUAUUGGGCGUAAAGAGCUCGUAGGCGGUUUGUUGCGUCGGCUGUGAAAUCCCGAGGCUCAACCUCGGGUCUGCAGUCGAUACGAGCAAACUAGAGUGUUGCAGGGGAGACUGGAAUUCCUGGUGUAGCGGUGAAAUGCGCAGAUAUCAGGAGGAACACCGGUGGCGAAGGCGGGUCUCUUGGCAACAACUGACGCUGAGGAGCGAAAGCGUGGGGAGCGAACAGG